UGUGUGUUUGCAUAUGUGUCCUGCCUCUCUGCUCCCAGCUGUUAAGAGGUCAGAGUUGAUCAGUGUCUGUCCAGGUCUUUCAGAGUCACUGACACACCAGCAGAACAAUGAAGAUGUUACUGACUCUACUGUUGACCAUCCUGGAGCUCCUGGUUCAGGGAUCUUCAGGACAAGUUACUGUAACUCAAACCCCUGGAUCUCAGUCUGUUGUUCCAGGACAUACUGUCUCUAUUAAAUGUAAAGUCAAUCCAAGUACGAGUAACUGCUUCAGCUGGUACCUUCAGAAAUCAGGAGAAGUGCCUAAACUCCUUAUCAGAUGCGCAAGCACCCGUCACUCUGGAGUUCCUGAUCGUUUCAGUGGAACAAAGUCUGGGAAUACAGACUUUACUCUGACCAUCAGUGGAGUUCAGGCUGAAGAUGCUGGAGUUUAUUACUGUCAGAGCGCUCAUAGCAUCAACAGCCAGUGGUUGUUCACACAGUGAAAAACACUCGUACAAAAACCUCCUUUAGUCAAAGUAAACAGAAACUGAACUGACUGCUGCAGCUGGAAGUUGCUGCAGAGACUCAUGCAGUUCUCUGUAAACACACAUGGAUUGCUUUUUAAAUUUUGUUAUUAAUUAAUUAAGUACUUCAUUUUAUGUUUUCAACUCACAUUUAAGACCAAAAAGUAUUCCAAAUCCUUUUAGUUUUAGGUUUAAAGUUAUCUUUUAUUUUACCAACAGUUUAUUUCUAACUGAAAGUAAUAUCAGUAUUUUGGAGAGGCCCAACCUGAAUCUGAUAGAUAAUAUAUGAGUAAAUGUAAAGAUUGAAUAUGAACAACAUUGGGAUUAACUUUAUUUUAUUUUUUUUAAUUAAACUUUUAAUAUUAAAGUUAUGUCUUUUUAUGAGAAAUGCAA